AGCAGUGGGGAAUUUUGGACAAUGGGCGCAAGCCUGAUCCAGCAAUGCCGCGUGAGUGAAGAAGGCCUUCGGGUUGUAAAGCUCUUUUGUCAGGGAAGAAACGGUGAGGGCUAAUAUCCCUUGCUAAUGACGGUACCUGAAGAAUAAGCACCGGCUAACUACGUGCCAGCAGCCGCGGUAAUACGUAGGGUGCAAGCGUUAAUCGGAAUUACUGGGCGUAAAGCGUGCGCAGGCGGUUUUGUAAGUUUGUCGUGAAAGCCCCGGGCUCAACCUGGGAAUUGCGAUGAAGACUGCAAGGCUUGAAUCUGGCAGAGGGGGGUAGAAUUCCACGUGUAGCAGUGAAAUGCGUAGAGAUGUGGAGGAACACCGAUGGCGAAGGCAGCCCCCUGGGUCAAGAUUGACGCUCAUG
rnacentral:rRNA from 1 species